UCAAUUUAUGGUUACUUUGCUUUAGUUGUACUGAGCAAUCCAAGCCUAGAUUCACCCAGGGCUCUCAGGGCACUCCCAAACUGCAGGGGGCAAUCAUGCAACAAAAGUUGGUGGAACCAACUUUUGGGGAAGUAGCUUUUGGGACUAUAUUUGCCUGCGCACCCACAGAGAGAGCAUGGCAUUGAAAUGUUUGUAGAGAGUUCGGUUGGUUCUCUCAUUUAUUCCUGGAAAAGGAUACUAUGAUUACAGCUCCUGAUCACUCAAAGACGCAACUGGUUAUCAACCUAUACCUACUGCCCCACACUGAUCUAUCAAGUCACCUUCAAGAAACUAUACCAUAUUAUUCCAUCACUGGUCUAUCAAACCAUCUCAAAGAAAAAAAAGAAUCAAGAAGUGAAAAGAUUGAGUUGUCCUUUGCGUUCUUCAGAGAGAAAAGCAGUUUUCAAGUUUGGGCUGAGCUGUAAUCAAUUAAAAACACACAGAACUUGACACUA